rfam:TPA: Bos taurus chromosome 18, whole genome shotgun sequence.
UCCCUUGUAGCUCAGUUGGUAAAGAGUCUGCCUGCGAUGCAGGAGACCUGGGUUUGAUUCCUGGGUUGGGAA